rnacentral:rRNA from 1 species
AGCAGCCGCGGUAAUUCCAGCUCCAAUAGCGUAUAUUAAAGUUGUUGCAGUUAAAAAGCUCGUAGUUGAAUUUCGGGAUUGACACAUCGGUCGUGCCUUAAGGGGUAUGAACUGGUGUAGUCAAUUUCUCACCUUCUGGAGAACCGCGAUGUCCUUAAUUGGGUGCCGCGAGGAACCAGGACCUUUACUUUGAAAAAUUAGAGUGUUUAAAGCAGGCAUUUUUGCUUGAAUACAUUAGCAUGGAAUAAUAAAAUAGGACGGCAUGAUUCUAUUUUGUUGGUUUCUAGGAUCACCGUAAUGAUUAAUAGGGAUAGUUGGGGGCAUUAGUAUUCAAUUGUCAGAGGUGAAAUUCUUGGAUUUAUUGAAGACUAACUACUGCGAAAGCAUUUGCCAAGGAUGUUUUCAUUAAUCAAGAACGAAAGUUAGGGGAUCGAAGACGAUCAGAUACCG